GUUAUCAAGAAAGGCGGAGGGAUUAGGCCCAAUGAAACCUUGGCAACCUGUUUUAAGACAAGGUGCCAAUUCCUAUCACACCUGGUGUGAAAAGA
rnacentral:ncRNA from 1 species